UACGGAGGAUGCGAGCGUUAUCCGGAUUUAUUGGGUUUAAAGGGUGCGUAGGCGGGAUGCCAGGUCAGCGGUAAAAAUGCGGUGCUCAACGCCGUCGAGCCGUUGAAACUGGCGUUCUUGAGUGGGCGAGAAGUAUGCGGAAUGCGUGGUGUAGCGGUGAAAUGCAUAGAUAUCACGCAGAACUCCGAUUGCGAAGGCAGCAUACCGGCGCCCUACUGACGCUGAGGCACGAAAGCGUGGGUAUCGAACAGG
rnacentral:rRNA from 1 species